rnacentral:lncRNA from 1 species
CUUUGUUAUUUUUAGACAACAAUAGGAGAUGGAUGAAGCAACAGUUUUACAUGAGAGAUCUGUCACUAUUGAGCAAAACCAGAAGCCACUGAGAAGCCCAAGCUCUGACAUCAAGUGCUAGAGAUCAAACCAGGGUCUUGUGCAUAUCAGGUAAGCAUUUUACCAAUGAGCUAUAUCUCUAGCCCCUAAAUUUUCUUUAUAAGAACCUUUUGGAGCUGAUCACUCUGGUUUAUGCCUGGAGUCUUAGCCAAUCAGGAGCCUGAGGUAGGAGAAUAAUAAGUUCAUGGCCAUUCUGGGAAACUUAGUGAGACCCUGUUUCAAAAUAAAAAAUAAAACGGCCAGGGAUUUAGCUCAGUUCUGCCACCUGCCUCAAAAGCUUAAGUUCCUGAGUUUGAUCCCUGGUACCAAAAAAAUAAAAAAUAAAAAGGGCUGGAGAUAUAACUCAUUGGUAGAGCACUCACCUAGCAUGUUCAAGGCUCUGGCUGGGAUAAUCCCUAGUACCACAGAAGAAAUUUUUUGGUAGAUAUCUUCAUUGUAAUGUAUGAAAUCUAAGUAGGUGUUAUAUGAAAUGUUACAGGUUUUUGGAUUGAAAAAUCUCCUAAAGAUAUAAAACCUCCAGUUUUGAUGGCUUAUUUCUGCCUAAAUCUUCAUUCAGUUUCAGAUAAAUUUUCUAGUCAUCAAAGAGUGGAUAUGUAUUUCUGAUUAAUUGUCAGAGAAUUUCUUGUUUGAAAAAUUAACUUCUAAGUAUAUUACUGAGCCACUGUGUGACCUUAAACAUGUUAAAGAGUUUUGGGAUAUCUUCCUUUCAUAUUGUAAAAUGCAGAUUAAAUACAUUUCGUGGAUCUUUCAAAAAUACCAUGGGGAUUAAUGAGAUAAUGCCAGCAGGCAUAUUAAUGCCAUCCAUUUUUUUUGCAUAUAGAUUUCUGCUCAUUUUAAUACUAAAAUAGGUCAUGUAUUAAAAAAUGAGUAUACAGGAUUAAGAUUAUAGUGAACUGUAUUAGAAUGAACAGAUGACAAGUAGGAUUAUUAAGCUUCAACAUACGCCUUCCCUUUUACUUUAACUCCAUGAUAUGUUCAUAAUUUAAAAGAGACUCUUUCAUAGUCCUAGGGAUCUUAAUCCAUAUGCCAGGCUGUCUGCUUAACUUAAAAACCAUUGAAAUGGACUAAAAUCCUGUGAUGUUGCUAAUAAUUUGCUUUACUGAGUAAUUAUCCCUCAGCAAGCAAUAAACCCACAGCUCAGAAACUGGUAAUGUUGUCAUCUUAUCUGUGGAACAACUUAAUCCUUGCUGGAGAAAAUCCCUUGAGCCAAAAUUCAUGGUCUAAAAGUGGGAGAAGAGCUAUGCAUCAUCGUUGGCCCAUUGAUGAUGCUGUUGCCCCAACGUUGUGCAGGGAGUUUGCCUGCUAUCAAUUUUAUCAUUGGCUGAUAUCAUAAGUCAGGCCUGGUGAUCAGACAAGGUCACCCUGAAAUUCCAUUUGGUGAGUGAGGCAUUACGUGGCUGCAGUUCUCUUCCAGAUUGAUGGCAUUUCCCAGCAUCUGUAGGUUUUAAAGAUAUGAAAAUCAGCUUAGAAAAGACAGGGCAGCUGUCUCUGUAUGAAUGGAUUCAAAUGAUAGGAAUUAGAGAUUGAGUAGGUAGAAAGGGACUAGAGGAUGAAAAAAGAGGGAACUAAAAAAGCAGGAAAUAAAACACAAGGAAAAAGAAUAUAUAUACCAGGUAGGGGAAAGGAGAUGUCAGAAUUGCAUGUAGGUGUAGGGAUAAAAAGAAAAGAAAAGAAGCACAGAUAGAAAUAAACCAGAAAGUUAUUUAUUUUUACAUCCAAUAAGAUGAUGGUUUUAGGGGAUAAGUCCUCCACAAGGUUCCCAGUAUCAAGUAUACUUGUGUUUGUUUUCUUAAGAACUUUCCUUUCAUCUUCAACAUGUUUAUGUAUUUCUUUCUCACUCUGUCCUUUCAACAAAUGAAGCUCUAUUUCACAUGGGUAAAAGAAGUAUGUUUAUUGUGAAACAAACGAAAAAACUUUAAGCUUUUUAAUUCAAUGUAAUCCCAUCUGUACAUUUUUCCUUUCAUUGCCUGUGAUUUCUGGGUUAUGUCCAAGAAAUCAUUGCUGAGACCAAUGUCAUGGUUGUCUUCCAGUAAUUUUAUAGCUUCAGGUCUUACAUGUUUGCCUUUAAUUCAUUUUGAGUUGAUAUUUUCAUAUGGUAUAGUAUAAGUGUCCAAUUUUAUUCUUCGUAUCUAUGUAGAUAUCCAAUUUUUUCAGCAUCAUCUAUUGAUGAAACUGUCCUCUUCCCAUUGUAUGUUCCUGGCACCUUUAUUGAAAAAUAGUUGACCAUAAAUUCUUAUGUUGAUUUUUGGACUCUGUCCUGUUCCAUUGGUCAAUGUAUCUAUUUUUUAUGCGAGUUUUCACUAGUAUAGGCUACAUCUAAGUUUCUGGGAGGGUCCCCAACAAUGUGAUUACUUCAUUACAUAUUUUUGUAAAAUUUAAAAAAGAAAUCACAAUUUUAACAUCUCUGAUCCUCUUCAAAAUUUUUAAAUUAUAAUUUCAUUUCUCAUUAUUAAAACUUUCAUAUUUAAAUUUAGAUUAGUGAAAAAUAUUGUGUAUUUUUCUUAAGGAGAGUCUCUAAGUCAUAUUUAAUUUUAAUUUCCAUGAAACCUGGAUUUGAUCUUGGAGAUAAGGUCAUAUGAUGAUUAGCAAAUAUAGGCCAAAGAACAAGGAACAGUUGGCUGAGUUCUCUUCAGCCUUCUGUUUAGCAAAUCAGUCUUCCUCCAAAUUUAAAAAAAAAAUUGAAAGGCAGAACCUUUUUGGCUAUGUGUUCAAGAAGCAUUCACAUACUUAAACUGACAUCAUGAAACACAUAAACAUCAGAAGAAUGUGACACCAAAGGAAGUGACUAAUAAAUUAAUGAUUUUAUGAUGUAGCAAAUGUAAUUAUUAAAAGAUGUUAAAAGGAAAAAUAAAAACCAAGAAAAAAUAAGACAUUAAAAGGUAAAACAAGAAAUACACCACAUUUAAUUUCUUCUUCUGUAUAAGUGAAUAGAGUACACAUAGUAAUCAAUAAGAGUACCAUCAAACUUGAAAUUGGAAGAUCUUGAUUAAAGUUCUUGUUCUACUUCAAUUAAAGUUCUUAGUCUACUUCUAAGGAGCUUAGCAAUUGUAGCAGGUUUGGUUAAUUGUCCCUCUAUGUGGUAGAUUAACUAAUGGUUAACUUGGAAAGCCCAGAUGAACUGAAUCAGUGUGGUCUGGGUGUGGAAGACCCACCUGAGGAUUGUUGCCAAAGGCAUAAAAAGAGAACUGUAGGGGAAGAUUGUUUUGUUGUUGAUUUUCUUGGAGAAACUUGCUGUGAGUGAUGCAAAAUUGGCUGUUCUUUCAUAAUUGGAGGAGCUUGGGUCCUUGCUCUCACUGGGAAUGGCUGCUGUUCUAGUCAGGGGAGCUCUGAUCUUUUCUGUGAGCAUCACUUCCUGGCUCCAGUGUAGAUCCCUCAGCCUAGUGGCAUAAAUCCUUCACCCCACUGGCACAGGCUUUCUAGCAUCCACCACUGGUCUUUGGGCCUUCCUGGUGCAACUCCUUGGUAAGGACAAGCAUGAGAUACUGCUGUGGAUUCUAGGCCACUGGCUGGACUAAUGAAGGACAUUGUUUUGGACUCUAGGCCUUCAGCUGGACUUGUACUGUGAGACCAAAGUGACUCCAUUUUGCUUAUGUGAAACCAGAAUGACUCCACUUUUGCCCAAAAUCGAGUAGUCUCCUUUGUCCUCUCACAUUAAUGAUUAAAAUGUGCUUGAUCUAGGACAAAAGAUACAAUCUGUAACAAACCAAAGUUCCUAAGUUAAUUACUCAGCCAUCUGUUUACCCAGGAAAUGAACAUCCUGGGCCCACUAUCUGUAGGAACCAUCUGUCAAUGUGCUGACUGUCAGUGCUGAGUGGUCGUGACCAUUAGUCACUGUGUCUGCUGACCAUCAACACGUGACAGUUGCCCACUAACCUUUGUCCUUCUUUUCUUUUGUAAAACCUAUACGUAAUCACCCCUUACCCCUGAUGAGUUCACCCAAUCAGAAAUGUACACUUCAUGCAUGUUAAGCGCUGACCAAUCAUUGUAACUGCUAAGUAGAGAAUCUCCAAACCUUGCUGUAACCUCUAUAAAAACCCCGCUAAUUUGGAACUCGGGGCUCUCAAUCUCGAUCCGCUGUGUCGGUGACAAUUGAGAGUCCCUACUUAAGCUUGAAUAAAUGACCCUCGUGCACUUACAUCGGAAACGGCCUCCUGGUGGUCUUUGGGACCUCACAAUCUGGGCACAACAGUACAUGACAUUGCUGUGGGAGCUAGGCCCUUGGCUGAAUUCUUUGAUUCUCUAGUGCAUGGAUAGAUCUCUUGCAUUCCUCUGCAUUUGACUUUUUUUGAAUAUUAUAAAAUAAUCCUAUAACUUAUGUGUCCUGUAUUAAACCUAUUCCCUUGCAAACCCUGAGUACAACACCAUAAUAUUUUUUUCUUCCUUUUAGUGAUGGCACCUAAGUUGUAGCCUCUCAGAUCACAUUUCCUAGCUUCCAUUAGGUUAGAUAUAGCCAUGUCACAAAGUUUUGACUAAUGGAUUGCACACAGUUUUGACUAAUGGGUUGACUAAUGCGUUGCAAAAUGAUGUGGGUGGCUGUGUACAUUGUCCUUAACUAUAUGAUGUGGCUUGUCUCCUUUUUCUUUCCUCUGGCCUAGAUGGCAGACAUAAUAUUGGUGAACCUGUUUUCACCAAUUGAUAAUGGCCAACCGAAUGAAACAAGAAUAUAGGAGCCUCAGUCCUCAGACAAUAUCAUAAUGUCUUUAGUCUGUACCAUGAUAGAGAAAUUUAAAAGAAACUUUUUUAGAAACUACAUUUUUGAGGUCUCCUUAGGCAAGUUCAAAUUUUCUCUCUGAAGGUUUAGUAUUUGAGUCUGAUGAAAUCCACAAUGGGCAGAUUAACAAGAGAAAAAGCCUGCUAGUAUUUUUUUCCCAUUAAGUUUAUUGGUACAUUUUAGGUAUAAAAUACAGUUACAUUCAUCAUUGGGAUCUUGUACUGUUACAGAAAUCUCAGAAAGAAAUACACAGAGACACAGAAUUCGGAUAAAAUAAUAAAAUUUCUUCUCGCGAGCGGACCGGAAUGCCAGAAACCAGUCUGGUCAAUAUCCGUGCCCCCUUUGUGCAGCAUUUCCCUUUUUAUAUACUUUUUAGCCAUUAUCUCAUCCCUAGUGGUCUUUAAUAUGUAAAUACAAUUCCAGUUCUUAUUUACAAGUCACAGACACAAGAUAGGCCAUAUACAUUGUAAAUUCAUCCUGGCCUGGUAACUUUGUUAGGUUAAUGAAGUUACUGGUUAGAGUCAGAUAAUCUUCACUUUAAACUAGGAGUUACAGGAAAAGCAAAUCUUAAAAGAACACAUUACUUAUUUUGCUUCUACAACUACCUUAAUAUUCAAUCUAUUAAGUUAUCUAAAACUUUUCUGUAUCAGUACCAUUACAUGAGUAUCUUGGUUCUUUUUUUUUUUUUUUUCCUUCCCCUGCUUUCCCUUCUCCCCCUCCACCCUUCCCUAUUUGCAAAGACUUUGUUUCCGUUUUUUUCCUUUUCUCAUAUUUUUUCUUUUCCCUUUUUCCCUUUCCCCUACCCUUCCCACUUCCCCUGCUCCUUUAGACUUUUUCUUCCUAUUACACAAUAUCAAUUAUACAUUUUUAAAAUUACAAUAUCAAGAUCUAGGAGACAUUACCACAGAUUUUACAGAAUUUAAAAGGAUAUAGAAAGCAUAUUACAAAAAUCUUUUUUUGAAAUAAAUUUGAUAACUUCUGAGAAGUACCUUGGAAGACAAAUUAAUGAAAUUAACUCUGGAGGAAAUAAAAGCCUGCUAGUAUUUACAUGCACAGAAACACCACAGGAAUGCUAAAACUGAAUGUGGUGGUUAAUAAAUUGUCAACUUGAGUAGGAGUGUCCCGCUGAAUUGAGUCGGUGUGGUUCUGGACAAGAAAGAUCCAUUUAAAGAGGG